rnacentral:tRNA from 1 species
GCGGAGUGGAGUAGCCAGGUAACUCGUUGGUCUCAUAAGCCAAAGAUCGUAGGUUCAAAUCCUACCUCUCGCA